UUAACCCAGUGGUUAGAGUAUUGCUUUCAUACGGCAAGAGUCAUUGGUUCAAAUCCAAU
rnacentral:tRNA from 1 species